rnacentral:rRNA from 1 species
UACGGGGGGGGCAAGCGUUGUUCGGAAUUACUGGGCGUAAAGGGCUCGUAGGCGGCCAACUAAGUCGAACGUGAAAUCCCCAGGCUCAACCUGGGAACUGCGUCUGAUACUGGAUGGCUUGAAUUCGGGAGAGGGAUGCAGAAUUCCAGGUGUAGCGGUGAAAUGCGUAGAUAUCUGGAGGAAUACCGGUGGCGAAGGCGGCAUCCUGGACCGACAUUGACGCUGAGGAGCGAAAGCUAGGGGAGCAAACGGG